GACUCAAACCUGUGUGAUCUAUCCAUGAUCGGGAUGAAGUUUGUAUGAAACUAAGUGGAGGUUCAAACCGACUGAUGUUGAAGAAUCAGCGAAUGAGUUGUGAUUAGGUGUGAAAUGCCACUUGAACACAAAGCUAGCUGG
rnacentral:rRNA from 1 species